rnacentral:rRNA from 1 species
GGAGGAAGGUGGGGACGACGUCAAGUCAUCAUGGCCCUUACGGCCAGGGCUACACACGUGCUACAAUGGUGCAUACAGACGGUUGCCAAGCCGCAAGGUGGAGCUAAUCUGAGAAAGUGCAUCGUAGUCCGGAUUGGGGUCUGCAACUCGACCCCAUGAAGUCGGAAUCGCUAGUAAUCGUGAAUCAGAAUGUCACGGUGAAUACGUUCCCGGGCCUUGUACACACCGCCCGU